UCUGAAUCACCUUACUGAAAUAAACUUCUAAAAAAAGUUUUGAAAUCUCAUUUUGUUCAACUAUAUUGAUCUGGCUCUAAAGGCCUGAUCACAAGUCAAAAGCUGAAAAACCUGCAAUAUGUCUGAAGUUUCAUAAAUCAUCUACGGUUUGGAAAUCCGAGUUUGAUUA